rnacentral:lncRNA from 12 species
GGGGGGGGGGGGGGGGGGGGGGGGGGGGGGCUUGAGAUCCAUGGGAUUGCCUUGAGAUCCAUGGGAUUACCUUGAGAUCCAUGGGAUCACCUUGAGAUCCAUGGGAAUGCCUUGAGAUCCAUGGGAACGCCUUGAGAUCCAUGGGAAUGUCUUGAGAUCCAUGGGAAUGACAUGAGAUCCAUGGGGAUGACUUGAGAUCAAUGGGAUCAACUUAGAUUCCAUGGGAUCACCUUGACAUCCAUGGGAUCACCUUGAGAUCCAUGGUAAUGCCUUGAGAUCCAUGAGAUCACCUUGAGAUCCAUGGAAUCACCUCAAGAUCCGUGAGAUCACCUUGAGAUCCAUGGGAUGACCUUGAGAUCCAUGGGAACGCCUUGAGAUCCAUGGGAAUGUCUUGAGAUCCAUGGGAAUGACAUGAGAUCCAUGGGGAUGACUUGAGAUCAAUGGGAUCAACUUGAGAUCCAUGGGAUCACCUUGACAUCCAUGGGAUCACCUUGAGAUCCAUGGUAAUGCCUUGAGAUCCAUGAGAUCACCUUGAGAUCCAUGGAAUCACCUCAAGAUCCGUGAGAUCACCUUGAGAUCCAUGGGAUGACCUUGAGAUCCAUGGGAACGCCUUGAGAUCCAUAGGAAUGCCUUGAGAUCCAUGGGAUCACGUCAAGAUUCAUGGAAUCACCUGAGGUCCAUGGGAAAACCUUGAGGUCCAUGGGAACAUCUCGAGAUCCAUGAAAGCAUCUCAUGAUCCAUGGAAUCGCCUUGAGAUCCAUGGGAUCAUCUUGAGAUCCAUGGGAACGCCUUGAGAUCCAUGGGAACGCCUUGAGAUCCAUGAGGUCACCUCAUGAUCCAUGAGAUCACCUUGAGAUCCAUGGGAUCACCCCAAGGUCCAUGGAAUCACCUCAUGAUCCAUGGGAAAACCUUGAGGUCCAUGAGAUCACUUUGAGAUCCAUGAGGUCACCUUGAGGUCCAUGGGAUCACCCCGAGGUCCUUGGGAUCACCUCAUGAUCCGUGGAACCGCCUCAAAAUCCAUGGCAUCACCUGGCAAUCCUUAGGACCACCUGCCCCCAUCACCCCCAGCUGCAGGAGCGCACCUGUCUCCCACCCUGACUCCCUGCCCCACAUCCCAAUUCCCUGCCCCAAAUCCGUGUUCCCUGCCCCAAAUCCGUGUUCCCUGCCCCAAAUCCCAAUUCCCUGCCCCAAAUCCGUGUUCCCUGCCCCAAGUCCCAUAUCCCCUGCCCCAAAUCCCAAUUCCCUGCCCCAUACCCCCAUCUUCUGCCCCAAAUCCUUGUUCCCUGCCCCAAAUCCGUGUUCCCUGCCCCAUACCCCUAUCUCCUGCCCCAAAUCCUUGUUCCCUGCCCCAAAUCCAUGUUCCCUGCACCAUACCCCCAUCUCCUGCCCCAAAUCCUUGUUCCCUGCACCAAAUCCUACAUCCCCUGCCCCAAAUCCCAAUUCCCUCCCCCAGGAGGAUGGCCAGGCGCGGGUGCUGCAGGGAUCCCACAUCCCCUUCCCCAUACCCCCAGGGGGGGGGGGGGGGGG